rnacentral:rRNA from 1 species
UACAGAGACUGCAAGCGUUAUUCGGAUUCACUGGGCGUAAAGGGUGCGCAUGCGGCCGUGUGUGUCAGGUGUGAAAGCCCGGAGCUUAACUCCGGAAUUGCGCCUGAAACUACAUGGCUAGAGCAUUAGAGAGGGUAGCGGAAUUCACGGUGUAGCAGUGAAAUGCGCAGAUAUCGUGAGGAACACCAGAGGCGAAGGCGGCUACCUGGAUAAUUGCUGAUGCUCAGGCACGAAAGCGUGGGGAGCAAAAGGG